rnacentral:rRNA from 1 species
CUUAUGCGUUGUUGGGUAGGGGAGCGUUCUGUAAGCCUGCGAAGGUGUGCUGUGAGGCAUGCUGGAGGUAUCAGAAGUGCGAAUGCUGACAUAAGUAACGAUAAAGCGGGUGAAAAGCCCGCUCGCCGGAAGACCAAGGGUUCCUGUCCAACGUUAAUCGGGGCAGGGUGAGUCGACCCCUAAGGCGAGGCCGAAAGGCGUAGUCGAUGGGAAACAGGUUAAUAUUCCUGUACUUGGUGUUACUGCGAAGGGGGGACGGAGAAGGCUAUGUUGGCCGGGCGACGGUUGUCCCGGUUUAAGCGUGUAGGCUGGUUUUCCAGGCAAAUCCGGAAAAUCAAGGCUGAGGCGUGAUGACGAGGCACUACGGUGCUGAAGCAACAAAUGCCCUGCUUCCAGGAAAAGCCUCUAAGCAUCAGGUAACAUCAAAUCGUACCCCAAACCGACACAGGUGGUCAGGUAGAGAAUACCAAGGCGCUUGAGAGAACUCGGGUGAAGGAACUAGGCAAAAUGGUGCCGUAACUUCGGGAGAAGGCACGCUGAUAUGUAGGUGAAGUCCCUCGCGGAUGGAGCUGAAAUCAGUCGAAGAUACCAGCUGGCUGCAACUGUUUAUUAAAAACACAGCACUGUGCAAACACGAAAGUGGACGUAUACGGUGUGACGCCUGCCCGGUGC